UACAGAGGGUGCAAGCGUUGUCCGGAAUUAUUGGGCGUAAAGAGCUCGUAGGCGGUCUGUUGCGUCUGCUGUGAAAACUCGGGGCUUAACCCCGAGCCUGCAGUGGAUACGGGCAGACUAGAGGUAGGUAGGGGAGAAUGGAAUUCCCGGUGUAGCGGUGAAAUGCGCAGAUAUCGGGAGGAACACCGGUGGCGAAGGCGGUUCUCUGGGCCUUACCUGACGCUGAGGAGCGAAAGCGUGGGGAGCGAACAGG
rnacentral:rRNA from 1 species